rnacentral:rRNA from 1 species
GGGCCCGCACAAGCGGUGGAGUAUGUGGUUUAAUUCGAUGCAACGCGAAGAACCUUACCAGGGUUUGACAUCCUGCGAAUUUCUGGGAAACCGGAAAGUGCCUUCGGGAGCGCAGUGACAGGUGGUGCAUGGCUGUCGUCAGCUCGUGUCGUGAGAUGUUGGGUUAAGUCCCGCAACGAGCGCAACCCACAUCCCUAGUUGCCAGCAGUUCGGCUGGGCACUCUAUGGAAACUGCCCGUGAUAAGCGGGAGGAAGGUGUGGAUGACGUCAAGUCCUCAUGGCCCUUACGGGUUGGGCUACACACGUGCUACAAUGGUAGUGACAAUGGGUUAAUCCCAAAAAGCUAUCUCAGUUCGGAUUGUCGUCUGCAACUCGACGGCAUG